rnacentral:lncRNA from 1 species
CCUUGAUCUAAUGGUCCAUAUUUAAUCUCUCAAGAGGUAUUUAAAGCCUCAAAAAACUGAAAAAUUCCCUCAUUUCCCCCCAUAACUCUUUCUCUCUUCUCUCUCUUUCUUCUCUCCGCCGCCGCCGCCGGAAAUCACCCAUCGGUGGCGGACCACCUCCAGACACCUCCAAAUUAACACCAUGUAUUCUCCACAACCUCCUCUUCCCAUAUCUCCAAACCAAUUCCUUCAAAACCCCCUCAAACUCCUUGAAUUUUAGAUCUAGGAAACUUUAGCCACCACUUUUUGGCUCAAAUUCAUGAAGCUCCGGCCAACAUCACCCUACAACACAUGCAUGAAUGGAUAGAGCUCCACGAGACCUAUCUUUUCCUACCCAUUUCACCCUCUAAAACCCCGUCGCCGCCGGCCCGCUGCCCAUUACCCGCCGCGGCUCCACUGCCUCACCACCGCCAAAAUGCCCCAAAACCCCAUCUUAGCUAUUUUUCGACUCAAAGACACUCAUUUUUUUUUGGCGAGAUGCUGAAACUCAUUUCGUUCUAGCAUCUACCCGAAAGAAACGUGCAUUUCGGAGUCAGGCAGUCGCCUUUUAGCAUCUCCGGCGUCUUCUCGUGGCUCGAACAGCUUCAAGCAUACUCGUUAGGUAUAAUCGUCAUCUCUUUAAUUAAUUUCUGAUUUUUUAUAUUAAUAGAUUAGUUUCUGAUUUUUGAUUUUUCUGUUUUGGUUGUUUCUUGUUAAUUAGAGUUUCAAGUUAGAUUUAUUUAAUUAGUUAUCUCUAUUUAGUUUAGUGAUUUGUUAGAUUGUUAUUGAUCUAAACAUGAUCUUUAGUGUAUUAGCUAAAUCAUUCACUUAGUUUGUCGAUUAUUUAGUUGUCUGAUUGUUAACGAUGCUCGUUCUGGUUUGAGCAUUUAGUUUGUGAAUUUAGUUAUUUGUUUAGUAAUUAGUUUGUAAAAAUCGAAUUCAUUCCAAUCAAGUUGGUUUGAAUACUUAGUUCAAUUAUGUUUUUAGUCUCGUUUAUGCUUUGUCAGUUCAUAGUUGUUCAUUUUUUAUUUUGUGUUGAGCAAGUAGUUUGUUCUUGAUGGUUAAAAUCUGAAGUUUAUGCUAUUUUAUCAUAAAAUAGGGUAAUAGUAGCCUACUUUUACUAGUAGGGUGGCUGAAAUGACAUUUGUUUUCUCCUUGCUUCUGACACGACAGAUUUUCAGGCUGUCCUUUCAAUUUUGGGGACAGAUCUUGAACAGUGUUUAGCACACAAAGUCAGUUUUUGGACAGAUUUUUGGUGAACUAAAAUCUGGCCCAAAAAGGGGACUUAAUUUACCUAUUUAAGGGGCUGCUAUUUCUUCACUUCAAAGACUCUAUCUUACACUUGCAGAGAUCUUGAGAGUUGCUUGAACACACAUAUGGUUGAACAAAAAAUCACCAGAUGAAUAUUUUAGUAAGCUAAAAAAUUUUGUUUUGUGAGUGAAUCUUAGAGUGCAAACUUUUAGAAAAGUAGAAGUCUUCUUUAGAGUUAGUUCUAGGUUUCUUCUCUAAAGUUUUCGGGCUGUUUAAACACGAUUUGCUGCUGGAUUUCUGUUGAUUUUGUUGUUGUUCUCUGUUGUUUUCUAUUGCUGAGCUUCAAUUCAUCCCCUGUUGUAUUUAUUUUCAGCUCUUCAGGUAACCUUCUAAAUAUUUGUAAUGCAGGCUCUUUUUCUUUAAUAACAGAUGAUGAAAAGUUGAACAUAUUUAGAUUAUAUGUGCAUCUUCAAUAUGGACGGAUGUCAAAGUGUAACCUUGAAAUCAAAUCUCGUGGUUUAAGUAUUAAAUCUAUGACUUUGUUUAAUUCUUUUUUUUUUUAUUUAGCUUAAUAGCUUUCCCAAUGUUAGUUUUCAAGUAGUGUUUCUUGAGUAAUGGUAGUAUUUCACUUAAAAAUAUAAAAGUUAUAUAAAGACCUUGUAGUAGGCUAAUAAACAAAGAAUUUUGUUUGGUUUAAGUUUUUGCCGUUCUUUUCACCGUAAAGUUUUAGAAGAUUGCAUAAAGGUCUAUUUCUUAUUACUUUACUGUUUUAGUCGUAAGGUUUCUGUUGUGGUUAGUUUUUCGUUAUCUG